AAGGGGAUCCAAAAACUUGAUACACAGACUUGACAGCUAGAAUUAGGGUUUACUCACUUUUUAUUCUUGCCGACUUGUACUUUUGCGGCUAGCUUUCCUUAGCACUGGUUUAUUCUCACCGGUUGUUUCCUUAUUUGUAAACCGACAAACCUUUUCGAUCAAUAGAAAACGUCUUUGAAAUAACCCACCGCCGAGUUUUGUCUCUCUUACAUAGAGGAUGAGGGAGACUCACACUACAGACCCUCACGCCAGGAUCGGCCUUAGGGUGAUUUUCAGGAAGACCGUUUCAUAUCUUCAUCAUCUCGAGGUCUGAGAAGAGAGGGGAAUCCAAGAGAACAUGUGCCAACACGGGGGAGGGACACAACCUUAUCCAAGAACUGAGUAGAGCAGAGGAACCAUGAAGUCAGGAGAAAAUUAAAGAAAACAAACAGCAGCAGUCUCAGGAUUUUCCUCCUGCAGUACGCAAACCCGGUUCGCCAAAGUUUCAGGUUUUUCUCAAAACGUGGGACAAGAGGAUGGUCAGAAGAUGGGUGAUGAGGAACAAUGUCUACUUGCAGGUGAAGUGGAGAAGAAACAGGGAGCAAGGAAGAAGCUCUUCAGAAACUUGACAGGCGCAGGAGAAACCACAAAAGAAAGAGGUUGGUCCAAGCUUUAAUUUUACCACGCAAAUGCAACCUUGCCAAGAACUCAACUGGUCCAGGUUCUGGUGGAAACCAGACAGAGGAAAAUGGUCCAUUAACCCUAAACCAAGAACAUCAAGCCCUAAAAGACGAAUCAUGAAUCAGCAUGAAGAUGAUGAGAAUCUUCGAUGGCCGUUUUUAUUUUCUGGUUUUUUAUUUUCUGGUGCUUUAAUAAGCUCUGCGAGCAGUUUAUGUUUUUAUGCAUAUUUCUUUAUCUGGUUUCCUAGUUUGGCUUUCAUAUUGUACGAGUUGAGGUCAUUCUCUUGAUUGUAUGUUGGAAUAAUAAAGGUUUAUUCGGUUC